rnacentral:rRNA from 1 species
CCUACGGGAGGCAGCAGUGGGGAAUAUUGCACAAUGGGGGAAACCCUGAUGCAGCGACGCCGCGUGAGUGAAGAAGGAAUUCGGUAUGUAAAGCUCUAUCAGCAGGGAAGAAAAUGACGGUACCUGAGUAAGAAGCCCCGGCUAACUACGUGCCAGCAGCCGCGGUAAUACGUAGGGGGCAAGCGUAAUUCGGAUUUACUGGGUGUAAAGGGAGUGUAGACGGCAUUGCAAGUCUGGAGUGAAAGGCGGGGGCGCAACCCCCGGACUGCUCUGGAAACUGUAGGGCUGGAGUGCAGGAGAGGUAAGUGGAAUGCGCAGUGUAGCGGUGAAAUGCGUAGAUAUUAGGAGGAACCCCAGUGGCGAAGGCGGCUUACUGGA